GCUGGAUGUUGCCAUCAGCACAGAGUGUGAUAUCUAAAGAAGAGGCAUUGUCCUCUAAGGCUCCCAUUGGAGUGGAAACGCCCUGCGAGGUGCUUGCCUGCCGGAGGGAAGGGAUGCUUUGCAGCUGCUUUGGCCCAUCAUGCGGUAGGUUCUAGCCAGUAAGAACCUCUGUCCAGCUGGAGAGGAUGUGAUGCUGGGGAGCGAAGGCCAUGGGCACACCCAUCUUCCCACUGCCUCUUUAAACACAUUCAUUCAGAGGAGUCUUGCUCAAGCCAGUGAGAAGUCCUGUAGUAUCUCAGAUGUCUCUUUAUAACACUGAAAAUCUACAAAAUGCUGACCAUAAUUAAUACAAAGCUAAUAACAUAAAACCCCACCACCUCAGACAACAGUUAACAAGUGAAAAAAAAUGAAAAACCAACAGCUCCUUUAUCAGACCCUCAUGACCGCAGUGAUAUUCGUCGGCUGUCAGAUAACCAAGCAAUACCCGUAGGCUUCCACCCUAUGUCCUGCAGACCAGGCCCUCCCUAAAUACUUGGGGGAUGGGGAAAAGAUGGGCCUGUCAGUAUGUGCAGGAGAAGAUCAAAUCUGGGCUCUCUCUGGCAAAGUGGAGAGUGCGCUCCACAGUCCAGGACCUUUCACAGAAAAUCCCUUCCCAGCAGCCCCCUUGGUGGGGCUCAGAUGCUGCCAAGGAAGCUUCUCUUAAUAAAUUAGUUUACUUGGAGUAAAGCUUAAAGGAUUUGAGGCCUGAUCCAAAGCCCAAUGAAGACAAUGGGAAGACUCCUAUUGACUUGAGGGACUUUGGAGCCAGACCCCUGUUGCUUGGUUUUAAAACUUGUGAUGCAGCAGGAGAGUGAUUUUUUUUUUACGUGUUAAAAUAAAUUAUUUUUAAUGAGGGAAAUUCACCAAAAUUCGCUAAAGCCAGUGGUUCCCAUUAAAAACAAACAAAAGCAACACACUUCUGUCUGAAUUCUAUUUACCUGCUGUUGAUAAAGUCACCCCUUACCCCAUAACAAAGAUCACAGGGGAGAUAUUUCUAUUUUAGAUUUCACUUACUGGGUUUAACUUGGACUAUGCAAUCAAGCCAGCUUCUCUUGCCCUUUGGGUAGUUAAUAGGGUGCAGUAAAUCAUUCACUAAUCACACUGCUGACGACACAGUAGGUAUCUGGGUGACUGUUGAGGGUACACACAUCUGCAGACUCCCCAGGGUUGCGUGUUGAGGGGAGAAGUCCCCUGGCAUAGUCUGGCUACAAACCUCUACAGGCCAGGUCCCUUUGAGCACGAUGGAGCGAAAGCAUCAACCAGAUCAACUGAAAACAUUCAGCUCUGCUCCGGCCUGGAGAGGGAAGAAGGCUGGUUUCCAGUCCCACGGCUUCACCAGCAUCUCUAGCCUGGGGCUGAUUCUGCGUACGAGCUGGCAGCACAGGCAGGUUCCUGAAGAUGACGGAAAUCGUCCUAUCUCAGGGCAUCUUCUGGCCAUCAAAAAAGGACUCCUCGUCUUUGAGGAUCUCAUGGGUGAAGUGGUAGCGAGCUGGGCCUCCGACCCUGUACAGUGAAUGGCAACAGGUCCAUCCAGUCCUCUAGGUUCUCUUUGUUGACCAGCCACAUCACACUGGAAGACAGCCAGGACAGCAGCCGCAAAACCCGUCCCAAUGGUCGAACUGGUAGGGGCGGCGACUCAGCGCAAGCCCCAGAAUGAUCAGAGCCUUAUUCCCUGUAGAUUAAGGAGAGGUUACUACAGGUUAAUUAGAGCACCUGGAGCUAAUUAAGCUCCCACCCCAGACCUAAUAAAAAUCUCUGCUUCAGUCAGACAGGAGGAGAGGAGGAGAGCGGACUAGUUUGGAGGUGACUGGUGUUGAUCAGAGGAUUAGAAUAGCAGGGGAAGGGAGACCAGGCCCAAGCAGGGCAGAGGGACUCCCCCAGCACAGAGAACUGAGAGAAACCCUGCCCAGGGGGAAAGAGGGUCAGAAGCCGGUGAAAGUGAAAGGGCUGGAACUGGAGUAGGGGGUGAACCUGGGUCCCUUCCCCGCUUCCCUUCUCUCCCCCUCCAGUGCACCUGAGGAGCUCAAGAAUAGGAGCAGGGACAGCGCCCUGAUCCACCACCCCCAGGAAAAUCGUGGAACCCACCACAAUAGCAUUGGCCAUUUGUCACAAACUGCACCCAGAUUUAAAACUUUUUUUCCCCUUGCACUGCAGAAGAGCUCGGUUGUGAGUGUUAUCCUGAACGUGCUAGUCAGAGACCGGUUCUAUUUGAAGUUGAGCUGCCAGUCUGCUGGGGAGCUGUGACCCCCGUGUGCUGUCCCCCACGGGAAUGGAAAACUUUCCUCCCUUUGCAGCACAAACUGCAGAUGCCCGGCUGCCCCUUUACUGGCUUUUUGGACACCAGCCAUCGGUAGCUUAUCAUCAAUUCUGAUCUGACAGUGAUCCCUACAGCUGAUGUGCUGAUUCUAAUCCGCGGCUUCAGUCGGCUUUAAAUCUUUAUCUGCAAUCGGUGAGUCUCAGCGCUGAGUAUGCAGAGACAUUAUUAGAUUAUUAAAUCAAUGACACUCAGGUUAUUAGUCACACUUAUCUGCAUUACCUGACACUGUAAUGAUAUUCUAUUUUUAC